GAUGAACGCUUGCGGGAGGCCUAACACAUGCAAGCCGAGCGGUAUUGUUUCUUCGGAAAUGAGAGAGCGGCGUACGGGUGCGGAACACGUGUGCAACCUGCCUUUAUCUGGGGGAUAGCCUUUCGAAAGGAAGAUUAAUACUCCAUAAUAUAUUGAACGGCAUCGUUUAAUAUUGAAAGCUCCGGCGGAUAGAGAUGGGCACGCGCAAGAUUAGCUAGUUGGUGAGGUAACGGCUCACCAAGGCGAUGAUCUUUAGGGGGCCUGAGAGGGUGAUCCCCCACACUGGUACUGAGACACGGACCAGACUCCUACGGGAGGCAGCAGUGAGGAAUAUUGGUCAAUGGGUGCAGGCCUGAACCAGCCAUCCCGCGUGAAGGACGACUGCCCUAUGGGUUGUAAACUUCUUUUGUAUAGGGAUAAACCUACCCUCGUGAGGGUAGCUGAAGGUACUAUACGAAUAAGCACCGGCUAACUCCGUGCCAGCAGCAGCGGUAAUACGGAGGGUGCAAGCGUUAUCCGGAUUUAUUGGGUUUAAAGGGUCCGUAGGCGGACUUAUAAGUCAGUGGUGAAAGCCUGUCGCUUAACGAUAGAACUGCCAUUGAUACUGUAAGUCUUGAGUAUAUUUGAGGUAGCUGGAAUAAGUAGUGUAGCGGUGAAAUGCAUAGAUAUUACUUAGAACACCAAUUGCGAAGGCAGGUUACCAAGAUAUAACUGACGCUGAGGGACGAGAGCGUGGGGAGCGAACAGGAUUAGAUACCCUGGUAGUCCACGCCGUAAACGAUGCUAACUCGUUUUUGGGCUUUAGGGUUCAGAGACCAAGCGAAAGUGAUAAGUUAGCCACCUGGGGAGUACGCUCGCAAGAGUGAAACUCAAAGGAAUUGACGGGGGCCCGCACAAGCGGUGGAUUAUGUGGUUUAAUUCGAUGAUACGCGAGGAACCUUACCAAGACUUAAAUGGGAAUUGACAGCUUUAGAAAUAGAGCUUUCUUCGGACAAUUUUCAAGGUGCUGCAUGGUUGUCGUCAGCUCGUGCCGUGAGGUGUUAGGUUAAGUCCUGCAACGAGCGCAACCCCAGUCACUAGUUGCCAUCAUUCAGUUGGGGACUCUAGUGAGACUGCCUACGCAAGUAGAGAGGAAGGUGGGGAUGACGUCAAAUCAUCACGGCCCUUACGUCUUGGGCCACACACGUAAUACAAUGGCCGGUACAGAGGGCAGCUACACAGCGAUGUGAUGCAAAUCUCGAAAGCCGGUCUCAGUUCGGAUUGGAGUCUGCAACUCGACUCUAUGAAGCUGGAAUCGCUAGUAAUCGAAAAUCAGCCAUGGCGCGGUGAAUACGUUCCCGGGCC
rnacentral:rRNA from 1 species